GAUGAACGCUGGCGGCGUGCCUAAUACAUGCAAGUCGAGCGAACAGACGAGGAGCUUGCUCCUCUGACGUUAGCGGCGGACGGGUGAGUAACACGUGGAUAACCUACCUAUAAGACUGGGAUAACUUCGGGAAACCGGAGCUAAUACCGGAUAAUAUAUUGAACCGCAUGGUUCAAUAGUGAAAGACGGUUUUGCUGUCACUUAUAGAUGGAUCCGCGCCGCAUUAGCUAGUUGGUAAGGUAACGGCUUACCAAGGCAACGAUGCGUAGCCGACCUGAGAGGGUGAUCGGCCACACUGGAACUUGGACACGGUCCAGACUCCUACGGGAGGCAGCAGUAGGCAAUCUUCCGCAAUGGGCGAAAGCUUGACGGAGCAACGCCGCGUGAGUGAUGAAGGUCUUCGGAUCGUAAAACUCUGUUAUUAGGGAAGAACAAAUGUGUAAGUAACUAUGCACGUCUUGACGGUACCUAAUCAGAAAGCCACGGCUAACUACGUG
rnacentral:rRNA from 1 species